rnacentral:rRNA from 1 species
AUUGAACGCUGGCGGCAGGCCUAACACAUGCAAGUCGAGCGGAUGAAGGGAGCUUGCUCCUGGAUUCAGCGGCGGACGGGUGAGUAAUGCCUAGGAAUCUGCCUGGUAGUGGGGGAUAACGUCCGGAAACGGGCGCUAAUACCGCAUACGUCCUGAGGGAGAAAGUGGGGGAUCUUCGGACCUCACGCUAUCAGAUGAGCCUAGGUCGGAUUAGCUAGUUGGUGGGGUAAAGGCCUACCAAGGCGACGAUCCGUAACUGGUCUGAGAGGAUGAUCAGUCACACUGGAACUGAGACACGGUCCAGACUCCUACGGGAGGCAGCAGUGGGGAAUAUUGGACAAUGGGCGAAACCCUGAUCCAGCCAUGCCGCGUGUGUGAAGAAGGUCUUCGGAUUGUAAAGCACUUUAAGUUGGGAGGAAGGGCAGUAAGUUAAUACCUUGCUGUUUUGACGUUACCAACAGAAUAAGCACCGGCUAACUUCGU